GCCUGGGUGGCUCAGUCAGUUAAGUGUCUGACUUCAGCUCAGGUCAUGAUCUCACAGUUCGUGGGUUCGAGCCCCACGUUGGGCC
rnacentral:tRNA from 1 species